rnacentral:rRNA from 1 species
UAGGGAAUCUUCCACAAUGGACGAAAGUCUGAUGGAGCAACGCCGCGUGAGUGGAGAAGGGUUUCGGCUCGUAAAACUCUGUUGUUAAAGAAGAACAUAUCUGAGAGUAACUGUUCAGGUAUUGACGGUAUUUAACCAGAAAGCCACGGCUAACUACGUGCCGG